rnacentral:rRNA from 1 species
GGACGAACGCUGGCGGCGUGCUUCAUACAUGCAAGUCGAACGAUAAGGCGUCUUCGGACGUACAUAAGUGGCGGACGGGUGAGUAAAAUGUAGAGAAUCUGCCCUAGAGAGGGGGACAACCGUUGGAAACGACAGCUAAUACCCCAUAUGAGCGUAGCUGAAAUGCUAUUCUUGAAAAACUCCGGUGCUCUGGGAUGAGUCUGCAUCUGAUUAGCUAGUUGGGGGUGUAAUGGACCACCAAGGCGAUGAUCAGUAGCUGGUUUGAGAGGAUGAUCAGCCACAAUGGGACUGAGACACGGCCCAUACUCCUACGGGAGGCAGCAGUAGGGAAUUUUGCGCAAUGGGGGAAACCCUGACGCAGCAACGCCGCGUGACCGAUGAAGCCCUUCGGGGUGUAAAGGUCUGUCAGUGGGGACGAACAAUGACGGUACCCACAGAGGAAGCACCGGCUAACUCCGUGCCAGCCGCCGC